rnacentral:rRNA from 1 species
CUGGCCUUGACACGGGAGAACUUUCCAGAGAUGGAGCUCCCGGUGGGGAUCUCAGACACAGUGUAAGCAUGGCUGUGGUGCAGACAAGUCCGGCAGGGCGGGUCAAAGUCCGGUGGCGAGCGCAACCCUUGUCUUUAGUUACCAGCAUCAGAGCAGGGGCACUUUAGAGAGCCCCAUGGUGGCAAACCGGAGGAAGGUGGGGAUGUAAGGAAGUCAUCAUGGCCCAGGCGCCCAGGCCACACACGUGCUACAAUGGUCGGAACAAAGAUCGGCAAGGCCUGAGGUGGAGUUAACCACAUAAAGAAAGGGGUAGUCCGGACAACAGUAUGCAACUCGGUAACGCCAAGUCGGAACCGGUAGUGAUGGUGAAUCAGAACGUCCCGGUGCAAGCGUUCCC